AAAGUGCGAAAAGUGUCAUGACUUGCAGAUUCCCGAGAGCUGACAAAUCUCUGAAUGCAAAUGGCAGCUGGGUCAGACCCAGCUAUGUAUUGUAGAGUGUAGAUGCUCCAGCUAUUCAUCAUAUCUCUCUCUAAAACUUGAGAGACAUGUGGACCUGCGCUUGCACUAGAGAUCUCUCUCCAUUGCGAGUGUUAAAAGAAAAGGUCUACGAUAACAUAUUAUAUAUAUAUGUGUCGUGCACCGAUGAGAAAACUCCUUCGAAAGAAGAAGCAUCACAUACAUCGGAAGCGUAUCAGACCAAGAUGAUUGAUAAUAAUCAAUUUUCAAUGAGCCACCUCUACAAUGCAUGAAAACCCGCUGAACUUAA
rnacentral:misc_RNA from 1 species